AGCUUUGCGCAGUGGCAAUAUCGUAGCCAAUGAGGUUUAUCCGAGGCGCGAUUAUUGCUAAUUCAAAUAUAUUUAUUAAGCACCUACUAUGUCCCAGUCACAGUUCUAGACACUGAGGAUAGAACUGUGAAUCCCUAAACCUCAUAUAGCUUAGUAGGAAAAGA
rnacentral:snRNA from 1 species